AAGAUAAAGACGAUGACACUGAACCACCAGUAGAAGAAGAAGGUAAAGAUGAUGAAACUCAACCUCCUUCAAUAAACGGAGUCAGCACUCCAUCUGAGACACAGACUCAACAGUCAGAUAACCAAGUGAAGAAGACAAGAGGUCCAACAAAAAUGCAAAAAGUCGCAACACAUAUAGAGGACAAGGUAGAGGUCGAGUUUAAUGCUAUAGGAGAGCAUGUUGGUCGUGGAUCAGUGACAUUAUCCUCCUUCCUUGGUCCUCUUGUCAGAGAGCAUGUGUCUGUACUGCUAGAUGACUGGAGACAUCUAGAAGAGAAAACAAAAGAUGCUUUGUGGGAGGAAAUACAGGGAAGAUUCAACUUGACAGAAGAAUGACAAAAGGAUGUAGUGUUCAAGCAGAUGGGUUGUUUGUGGAGGGCCUCUAAAUCUAGACUUUCUUCCAUGGUUAGAGCUACAAAAAAACAAGGCUCAACUACAGAAGAUGAAACCCAGCAACAUACAAUCUGCUACAUCUUGAAACAAUUAGGUGAAAGGAAGAUAUACUUCAGCUUUUCAGGAACAAAGUGAUAAGUACAGGGAACUCAGGAAGGGUCAAAUUCCUCAUACCACUAGCCGUAAAGGCAUGAUUCGGCUUGCAUAUGAGAUGAAAAAAAACACUUCAGAUCCUAAGCAAGUAACUAGAACUAAGGUUUGGGUUGCUGGUCAUACGCAUUCUGAUGGAAGACCAGUGCAUGAAGAAUUCGCAGAUACCAUAGAGAAGAUAAAGAGAAUUGACAGUGAAAUGGACU